CCUACGGGAGGCAGCAGUGGGGAAUAUUGCACAAUGGGGGAAACCCUGAUGCAGCGACGCCGCGUGAGUGAAGAAGUAUCUCGGUACGUAAAGUUCUUUUCUAAGGGAAGAAGAAAGUGACGGUACCUUAGGAAUAAGCCUCGGCUAACUACGUGCCAGUAGCCGCGGUAAUACGUAGGAGGCAAGCGUUAUCCGGAAUGACUGGGCGUAAAGGGUGCGUAGGUGGUGUGACAAGUUAGUAGCGCAACUCCGGAGCUCAACUUCGGAACUACUACUAAAACUGUUGGACUUGAGUGCAGGAGGGGCAAUCGGAAUUCCUAGUGUAGCGGUGGAAUGCGUAGAUAUUAGGAGGAACACCAGUGGCGAAGGCGGAUUGCUGGACUGUAACUGACACUGAGGCACGAAAGCGUGGGGAGCAAACAGGAUUAGAUACCCGGGUAGUC
rnacentral:rRNA from 1 species